GGAUUAGAUACCCUGGUAGUCCACGCCGUAAACGAUGGAUGCUAGGUGUCGGGGUUCUUAGAACUUCGGUGCCGCAGUUAACGCAUUAAGCAUCCCGCCUGGGGAGUACGGCCGCAAGGUUAAAACUCAAAGGAAUUGACGGGGGCCCGCACAAGCGGUGGAGCAUGUGGUUUAAUUCGAUGCAACGCGAAGAACCUUACCAGCCCUUGACAUCCCGGUCGCGAUUUCCAGAGAUGGAUUUCUUCAGUUCGGCUGGACCGGUGACAGGUGCUGCAUGGCUGUCGUCAGCUCGUGUCG
rnacentral:rRNA from 1 species